GGAACUCUUGAUGGUUCAGGUUUUGAUACUGCAGAAUAGUAGGGGCUGCUUUCUGCUGUGUUGAGGGAAUAGUCCUCAAAAUGCCCACUGCAGCCUCUGGGGCUCAUGUCGGUUAGAGCUGAUGGAGCUGGUGAGAGUUGGCACUUGUCUGGCUUCGAGUAUACAUGGUUUAGUGAUUCAUAAUAUGUGGAAAAUCUAGGGUCUUCAUAUUCAGGUUGUGGUUGGUGUGAAUAACUAUUUCUGCUCUUUGUGCUUCCCUUUGCUUGUCCAAGAUCCAUCUCAACAAUUUUGAUGUUCUCCUCCAUGCCUCUAUCAGUAUCCUACAUCCAUCAAAGCCAUGUUGCAUACCAUUCAAUCUUGAUAAAGUUAGCCAAGAAUUGAUAAAUAAUUUAGAUUUUCUUUUCCCAUUUUUUAACUGAUAUUGAGCAGACUAGGAAGGAUAUUGUUGAUCAAUAGAUAUUCCAAGCAUGAAAGAAAAUAGAACUUAUUCCUUUCUUGAGAUACGGGAUAACUUUACUGUUAUUGCUCCUGUUUGAAAAUCAAAAGAUAUGAAUUGGAAAUUCCAACAUAAACGAAAUAACGCGUACAUAAUUUAAAUGUCUAAAUCUGUUAUCGUGUGUUGAUUUUUUGUGGAUUGAUUGUCUCUGACUAGCAGGCUUUGUUUCUUCUGCCAUUAGGAUCCUUUGGGCUCGAGCUCUAGCCUGUACAGUCACCAAUGCCUGCAUACACCGAAGUGUAGCAGUGGCCUGUUUCCUUACAAGGUGACCUCUUACUAAUGCCUGCAACUUCACUAAUCCUUUUAAUGCACAUAAUGCUUUUCUUGCCUGUGAACAGCACAAUGAAUACAGUUCUUAUCAUCAUCUUCGUAAUGACAUUCUUUCAACUCGCAGAAGACAUGUUAAUUUCCAGAUUAAAGAUAAAAAAAGAUCAAGAAUUGCGUACCAGAUAAGAACGGAAGACGGACUGAAUCUUUAUGGCAGCAGCCUCUUCAAUAGCACGUGUUUUCUGAUUGGCAACAGUUGUUAGGCGGAGCACAACAGCU
rnacentral:lncRNA from 1 species